CAGGAAUGCAAUCCUGAGGUCAUUUGGGUAGAAAGAAUAAAAGACAGACAGACUGGAGCAGCAGCACACUGAGCAACCCCAACUCCCUCACAUCUCUGAGGGGUGGGAGAACCUUCCAGGUCUCUGUGCUGCAGGGACCCAGGGUGACUCCUUCCCACAGGCAGUGCAAGGUCCCCAGCCCAUCCCUGAGACUCACCUUCAAGGUGCUUUUGAACUGCCACAUCAGGUGCCUCCAUUCCUCUGUACAGGGGACUUUGCACAGCUCUGUGCAAACAUUCUGUGAAGGGCAGAUCACCACCAAACUGGUUUGGUUUUUAUACUGCUUUUUUUGGCAAACUCCUGCACCCCUGUAUUAGCUAGUGGUAAGAGAAUAAGUGAAGGAGACCUCUGACUGGACCUGAAGGGCCAUUCGUGCAUCUUUCUGAGCAUUUGGAACAGCCUCUUCCUUCGCCCAGGACUCCAGGUCCCACCUGAAAUGAGAAACUAAAACCAGAAGUCAUAUCUUUGGCAAACUCCACCUGGUUGGACCUGCCAGCCUCCCACAUUUCAGUCGCAGCCAGACCUUCAGCUGCUCGUGGAGCUUCAUCUUUCAUCUCCAGACUUGUCUGACCCAACUAAGGUCACUGAGCCUGAGAAACAUCUUCCUUGUCUUCUGAGUUGGAUUUCUACCAGCUCCUUGCGUCCACCAAGGUUUAGCCUAGCACAAGAGCCAGUCAAUGGUCAAUGGGGGAUGAGGACUGAGAAGUGUGGGGUUGCCAUUGCAGGUUGUUAGAUUGACCUGGUGGCCUCAGGAACUCCCUCAAAUAGGGGGGGCUCAGUGAAACCUUCUCCUUUGCAGGACAAGCUGGUGGAGCAGUGCUGUGCAGAGGAGUGCACUGUUUCCUUUGGACAAGGGAGUGGCUGUAAGGUUGCCUCAAAGGUCUUACAGAAGUUAUGUGGGGAGAGGCACCUAAUUACUCAUCAGUGAGCGGGUGUGAGGCUGAGGAAAGGAUUUCAAAAAGGAUGAGGCAGCAAAAUGCUCCUGAUGAGUGUCAGAGGAACGUGUGGCAGAUGGGAGC
rnacentral:lncRNA from 1 species